rnacentral:sRNA from 1 species
AGUGAGAAUGAGAAUAAAAGUAAAAAUAAAAAUAAAAAUAAGAAUAAAAAUAAAAAUUAGAGUGGAAAUAAAAGUAUUAGAGUAAGAAUAAAAAUAAAAAUAAAAGUAAAAAUAAAAAUAAAAAUAAAAA